UAGUUUGAAAUUAGAGUCAACAGAAUAUUCUGGGCAGGAUAGUUGAAGAAAAGAAGUCAAAGGCUACCCUCCCCAACCCACCCCAGGUUUCCUAGUUUGGGUUUCAAACUGCCUGCUGCU